GCCNUUCCCGCCGCCCCCGCCNNGACGGGGAGCAGCAGGCGCGAAAACUUUGCAAUGUGCGAAAGCACGACAAGGUUAAUCCGAGUGGUUUCUGCUAAAGGAACCUUUUGUUAGUCCUAAAAACACUAACGAAUAAGGGGUGGGCAAGUUCUGGUGUCAGCCGCCGCGGUAAAACCAGCACCUCAAGUGGUCAGGAUGAUUAUUGGGCCUAAAGCAUCCGUAGCCUGCUCUGUAAGUUUUCGGUUAAAUCUGUACGCUCAACGUACAGGCUGCCGGAAAUACUGCAGAGCUAGGGAGUGGGAGAGGUAGACGGUACUCGGGAGGAAGUGGUAAAAUGCUUUGAUCUCUCGAUGACCACCUGUGGCGAAGGCGGUCUACCAGAACACGUCCGACGGUGAGGGAUGAAAGCUGGGGGAGCAAACCGGAUUAGAUACCCGGGUAGUCCCAGCUGUAAACUAUGCAAACUCAGUGAUGCAUUGGCUUGUGGCCUAUGCAGUGUUGCAGGGAAGCCGUUAAGUUUGCCGCCAGGGAAGUACGUACGCAAGUAUGAAACUUAAAGGAAUUGGCGGGGGAGCAC
rnacentral:rRNA from 1 species